rnacentral:rRNA from 1 species
UACAGAGGAUGCAAGCGUUAUCCGGAAUGAUUGGGCGUAAAGCGUCCGCAGGUGGCGAUGUAAGUCUGCUGUUAAAGAGUCUAGCUCAACUAGAUAAGAGCAGUGGAAACUACAUAGCUAGAGUACGUUCGGGGCAGAGGGAAUUCCUGGUGUAGCGGUGAAAUGCGUAGAGAUCAGGAAGAACACCAGUGGCGAAGGCGCUCUGCUAGGCCGUAACUGACACUGAGGGACGAAAGCGUGGGGAGCAAACAGG